rnacentral:rRNA from 1 species
UACGUAGGGGGCAAGCGUUAUCCGGAUUUACUGGGUGUAAAGGGAGCGUAGACGGUUAGACAAGUCAGAAGUGAAAACCCGGGGCUCAACUCCGGGACUGCUUUUGAAACUGUGUAACUGGAGUGCAGGAGAGGUAAGUGGAAUUCCUAGUGUAGCGGUGAAAUGCGUAGAUAUUAGGAGGAACACCAGUGGCGAAGGCGGCUUACUGGACUGUAACUGACGUUGAGGCUCGAAAGCGUGGGGAGCAAACAGG